AACGAACGCUGGCGGCAGGCUUAACACAUGCAAGUCGAGCGCCCCGCAAGGGGAGCGGCAGACGGGUGAGUAACGCGUGGGAACGUACCCUUUACUACGGAAUAGCUCCGGGAAACUGGAAUUAAUACCGUAUGUGCCCUUCGGGGGAAAGAUUUAUCGGUAAAGGAUCGGCCCGCGUUGGAUUAGCUAGUUGGUGGGGUAAAGGCCUACCAAGGCGACGAUCCAUAGCUGGUCUGAGAGGAUGAUCAGCCACAUUGGGACCGAGACACGGCCCAAACUCCUACGGGAGGCAGCAGUGGGGAAUAUUGGACAAUGGGCGCAAGCCUGAUCCAGCCAUGCCGCGUGAGUGAUGAAGGCCUUAGGGUUGUAAAGCUCUUUCACCGAUGAAGAUAAUGACGGUAGUCGGAGAAGAAGCCCCGGCUAACUUCGUGCCAGCCGCCGCAGUAACAC
rnacentral:rRNA from 1 species